rnacentral:lncRNA from 1 species
CGGAGCAGCUGGGACUGCUGGCGCCCGCCACUACGCUCGGCUAAUUUUUUUGUGUUUUUAGUAGAGACGGGCUUUCACCGUGUUGGCCUAGCGGUUCUCCAACUCCUGACCUCAUGAUCCCCCCGCCUCAGCCUCCCAAAGUGCUGGGAUUACAAGCGUGAGCCACCGCGACCCGCCAACACUCUUGACAACAGUGCUGUGCUAAGAACUUGGGGGACUUCAAAAAGUUCACCAGUUCCUGUGUCCAUGGGUGAAAAGAUUUUCUACAUCUUUCCUUGACUAGAAACAGAAGUCCUGAAACAAGAAUAUAACGUCAGGAGGCCAGAGGCUUUGUCCUGCCUAAUGUGUUAUUUCCACACUGAAUAAAAGCACCUGAGUCCUGAUGGAGUCUCACUCUCUCGCUGUCAGGCUGGAGUGGAGUGCAGUGGAACAAUCUCGGCUCACUGCAACCUCCGCCUCCUGAGUUCAAGCGAUUCUCCUGCCUCAGCCUCCCAAGUAGCUGGGACUACAGACGCCCACCACCAUGACCAGCUAAUUUUUGUGUUUUUAGUAGAGAUGGAGUUUGACCAUGUUGGCCAGGAUGGUCUCGAUCUCUUGACCUCGUGAUCUGCCGGCCUUGGCUUCCCAAAGUGCUGGGAUUACAGGCAUGAGCCACCACUCCUGGCAGAUUUAAGAAGUUUUAACAUAGGUCUGCAUCCAACAAACUAUCACCACAGUCAGAAUAAUGAACAUAAUCCAGCAUGACGUGAGGGAGGAAACAUCAAUCUAAACAUUUUCUCAUGCCAUUUUUGAAUCUAAUUUUUUGUUCUUUAACUUUUCAGAGACUGAAUAAUCAACUUUUGUAAUUUCUCGUGUAAGUCUACAUUAUCCAAGAAAAUCUUAAUAGAUCAAAUGGUGCAAUUCUGAUGGACAUAGGUAGAUUUAGCAGACCUCACUAUGCCAACAGAAUCUUCCUUUACUUAACUUGGACUCUUUAUCUUCUCUUUUGCCCUUUCUUCUUGUUCUCAUUCUUGUUCUUGUUGUUGUUGUUCUUCACUUUCUCACUCUUCUCUUCCACUGCUUUUUGUUCCUCUUCUUCUCUCCUCUUCUUCUUAUUCCACUUUUUCUUUCUCUAUCUUCUCUGCCCACCUUCCAUUCUGGCCUUUUGUCUGUCCACCAUCCAUUCAUUACACCUUCAGCCUGGCUAUCUCCAGAACAACAAACCAAACCUCUUUCUAUAUUGACAUAGUUUGGAUUUGUGUCCCUGCCCAAUUUUCAUGUCAAAUUUUAAUCUCCAGUGUUGGAGGAGGGGCCUAGUGAGGGGUGACUGGAUCAUGGGGCCAGAUUUUCCCCUUGAUGUUCUUGUGAUAGUGAGUUCUCACGAGAUCUGGUUGUUUAAAAGUGUGUAGCACCCGCCGCCUUCAUUCUCUCUUCCUCCCGCUCCAGGCAUGUAAGAUGUACCUGUUUUCCCUUUGCCUUCUGCCAUGAUUGAAAGUUUCCCGAGGCCUCUCCAGCUAUGCUUCCUGUAUAGCCUGCAGAACCAUGAGCCAAUUAAACCUCUUUUCUUUGUAAAUUACCCAGUCCCAGGUAUUUCUUUAUAGCAGUGGGAGAAUUGACUAAUACAUAUAUUUUAUACUGUAAGAAUAGUAGGUGCUCAAAUCUAUUUCCAAAAGAUAAAUUAAAAGUACCAUGCUUCCCAGAAACAAGCACUCCUAAUACUAUUUUGAACAAAUGGUGUCAUUCUCUAUACACAGUUCUGCAACAAGCUUUGCUUGUUUCACAAUAUCUUGUACACUUAUGUUUGUCACAAUAAAUACAGCUAUGUCAUUUAUAAUUUUAAAAUAGCUGAAUAGUGUUCAUCAAUUUUGUGUCAAAUAACUUUUUGCAUUAAACAAAGCUGCUACUAAUAUAUUAAACAUAUAUCUGUAUGCAUAUAUCUAUUGUAUCCAAUUCAAACCCCUCUUGAAUUACAGUAGAAAUAUUAUAUAUUUCUUUAGAGAUAUGGCAGAUUUUUCUCUCAAAGAUGUUGUACAAAUGUUUAACAAUAUUUGUGAAGAAUAUGCAGUAUUCCAUCAUUUCAAAAAUAUUGAAC